AACGAACGCUGGCGGCAUGCCUAACACAUGCAAGUCGAACGAAGCCUUCGGGCUUAGUGGCGCACGGGUGCGUAACGCGUGGGAAUCUGCCCUUUGGUUCGGAAUAACAGUUGGAAACGACUGCUAAUACAGGAUGAUGACGAAAGUCCAAAGAUUUAUCGCCAGAGGAUGGGCCCGCGUAGGAUUGGCUAGUUGGUGUGGUAACGGCGCACCAUGGCGACGAUCCUUAGCUGGUCUGAUAGGAUGAUCAGACACACUGGGACUGAGACACGGCCCAGACUCCUACGGGAGGCUGCAGUGAGGGAUAUUGGACAAUGGGCGAAAGACUGAUCCAGCAAUGCCGCGUGAGUGAUGAAGGCCCUAGAGUUGUAAAGCUCUUGUACCCGGGAUGAUAAUGACAGUACCGGGAGAAUAAGCCCCGGCUAACACCGUGGCAGCAGCCGCGGUAA
rnacentral:rRNA from 1 species